AUUAUACAUAUAUAAUUGUACAUUAUAAUGUAGCACUGCAGAGUUAACUAUGCGCAGAGAUGCACUCUAUUAAAACACGGAUGGAGUAUUUAUGCUUAUUUUAGAGCGCUCAACCACUAAACUACAAUCUAGAAUGCUAACUUUACACACAAAAAUAAAACUUACAAGGGGCCAGCCUUCAAUCAUAGUAUCAUCUAAUUCUCUCUUCUCCAUUUUCUUCCUUGCUCAUGUUGUCGUCAACUAAUUGUUUCUUCUCCUGCAAUAUUAAGUCCAUUAAUAAUCUGUAAGUGGGCACUUGAGCUAAAGGGGGUGCUUGUGGUGGUGUAGGGGUGGUGAAUUCGCUAGGCUAGCUUGCUGCAGUAGUUUUGAUCAUCGGCGACGAGUAGCUGAAAAUAAUUGGGUAAAUAACCCUCUUCGUCUCUUUAAUUCAAUGGUAAAUAUCCUUGCAUUUAAGUGGGUCUUGAUGACAAUGAUGAAUAAGAUUUAGAGGGAUGAUGGGUCUGAUUUAGUUUCCGCUGAAAAUUUAGGGGUUUGGAUUAGAGAUUAUGCUCGUUAGGUAACAUAUAAAAUGCUAUUCAUUUGAAUGCUUUUUUGUUUUUUAUUACUUUGGAAAUUGAUGUGUUUGAAUUGUUGUUAAAUGCUUUGUGUAGACAUGGGCAUGUUAGGGUAGCUUCCGAUCACAUAUAUUGUUAGAUGUAAUGUGAGAAAUUUGUAUAUUUAAAUGCUUUAGUACAGUUUCUUGAGUUGCUCUCACAAUAGUUAAGUACUAUUGAAAAUUUAAACCACUAGUUUGAAGUAAAACUAAGUGGAAAAAAUAAAAUAAGGCAGAAGAAUUGAAGAAAGCCCAUAAAUAUUGCUGGCAAAACUGAAGUUUAAUACACAUCAGUAGUAGGUGGCCAGAAAGCACCAAAGUUUAGGCUAAUUCUAACUUAUGUUAGUCUUAUUCAAAGCCUUUUUUUUUAUUGAGGUUGCUUUUUCCUUUUGGAUUCGUUUUAUUAAUAUCAGGAGCUCCAGCUGCUAGCCUGCUACAGUUGGGCAACCUCUACCCUCUAAGCUUUUACAAUGCCUGACCCACAAUAUUGUUCCAAGUGCAAUGCUAAGAAAUUUGCUUAUGAGUCUUUGCAUUUUUGUUGUGGAAAUGGUGAUGUUCGAAUUGCAGCAAAUGAAUACCUUUUGAACUUAUAAGGCAUUUACCUUCGCAAGAAGAAAUUGCUAUGCAUUUUAGAAAGUAUGCAAGGUUAUAUAAUAACCUAUUUGCCUUCAGCACUAUAGGAGGGAAUUUUGAUGCUGAUACAUAUAAGGGCAUUUAUGUGUUUAAAUUGCAUGGACAACUAUAUCAUUUUGUCCCUGAUCUUUUGCCCGCUGAUAGUAACCCUAAGUAUCUACAACUUUAUUUUUAUGAUGGCCAGAAUGAGACUGAGAAUCGUUUAGGAUGUUUUCCUGAAUUGACAAGAAGUCACAGACAUUUUAAUGAACGUCUAAAGAUAAUUCUUAUGCUAGAUUUUUUCGAUCUUAGAAAUAAGUAGAAGUAAAUGAAGAUACUAAGAUUGUCAUAAAUCAAAAUACCGUGCUUGAUCAACAAGUAUAUAAUGCCCCAGCUUGUGAUGAAGUUGCUGUGAUUUGGCCUAAUAAAACUUCUUCAAGUGAAAGUUUAGGCCCACAUAUUCUUGUAUCAGGUAAAUCAGCUGACUCUCAUAGAAUUCAGCAUUAUUACGGUUGUUAUUAUCCACUACAAUAUCCUUUGCUUUUUCCACGGGGAGAAUGGAAUCAAGGGCUGAAGAAAAUGUCUCACGGUGGACAUAGGCAAGCUGAUACCGAGGUUGACCCUGUUCAGUCUUGUGCUGUGCACAAUGUAGAAGAUUUGCUUGCUCAAGAAGCUACACGUAAGCCCUUUUUUAAUUUUUUUUAAAGUGAAUUAAAGAUGAAAGGGUUUAGAUAAUCAUACUUUGCUCCAUGUUACUGCUGUCUAAGGAUUUCAUAUCUUACCAUUACCAUGCUUAUAUUUAUUAUAUAGAUGCAUCUGGUAGACAUACAAAGGCUUAUAAAUUUGUUUCGCCAAGAGAAUAUUAUGCAUAUAAGUUGCAGAUCAAACCGAACUACAUGCUUUUAAGGGCAGGAACAGCAUUUCUCCAGUACAUUGUAGACAUGUAUGUGAAGAUUGAAAAUACGAGGCUUGAUUUUUUCCUUCGACAUCAAGAUAGUAUUAGAGCUAAUCUAUAUCAAGGCAUACUAGAUACAGUUGAAGCUGGAGAGAUUAAUCCAGCAAAUGUUGGCCAUAGAUUUGUUUUACCGCCUACAUUCCUUGGUGGUCCAAGGGAUUUGAAAAGGCGUUACUACAAUGCCAUGGCUCUGGUUCACAGAUUUGGGAAGCCGGAUUAUUUAGCACAAUGACGUGUAAUGCAAGUUGGCCAGAGAUUAAAGCAGAGCUUACCCUUGGGGAAAUCGCACAUGAGAGACCAGAUUUAGUAGCUCGGGUAUUCAGAGCAAAAUUAUUAGCUCUGAAGAAGUAGAUUAUGGAGAUUAAGGUAUUUGGUGAGGUAGGUAUUUGGAAUUCCAGAAAAGGGGGCUACCUCAUGCUCAUAUUUUAUUGAUUCUGAAGCCGGAGUUCAAAUUGAAAAGUCCAGCUGAUUAUGACAAGUAUGUUUCUGCAGAAAUUCCUCCAUUAAGUAAUCCUACAUUGCGUAGGAUUGUAUUAAAGCACAUGAUGCAUGGGCCUUGUGGUCGAAUGAAUCCACAAUGUUCUUGUAUGCAGAAGAAAGGAGGUGAAUUGGUAUGCAAAAGUAGCUAUCCAAAGCCAUUUGUUGAUCAAACCACUACCAACGAAGACGGUUAUCCUUGCUAUCGUAGAACAGAUACGGGAGAAAAAGUAAAGAUCAGAAAUGCUGAGCUGAAUAAUCAAUGGGUAGUCCCAUACAACCCAUAUCUUUCGACACUUUUUGACUGUCAUCUUAAUGUAGAGGUUUACUCCACCAUAAAAGCAGUAAAGUAUCUAUAUAAGUAUGUAUACAAGGGCCAUGAUAAAGUGUCCUUUACUAUAAAACCAGAUGGCAGAUAAGCAACUGAUGAAAUUACACAGUACCAGUUAGGCAGGUGGGUAUCUUCGUGUGAGGCAGCAUGGAGAAUUUUUUGUUUUGAUUUAUAUGAAAUGCACCCUCAUGUACUACUUCUCCCAGUGCAUCUGCCUAAUAGGCAAAUGGUAUGUGUGCACCCAUACGAGCCUUUAGAUAUGGUUGUGGCAAUGGGAUACCGAGCUCGGACUCCAUUGAAUGAGUUUUUUUUUACCAUGAAUGCUGCUACUGAGAAUGGCAUGGGUUAUUUAUAUGUAGAAUUUUGUGAGCAUUACAGGUGGGAUACCUCUACCAAAGCAUGGUUCAAGAGAAAGAAGACUAAAAAAAUUGUGAUAGGCCGUAUGGCAUUUGUAUCUCCAGUGGAAGAUGAAUGCUUCUUCUUAAGACUGCAAUUGUUGAAUGUAAGAAGUCCCUGGUCUUUCGAUGAUCUUCGUACAGUUGGGGGCCAUGUUUGUGCAAGUUUCCAGGAAGCCGCCUACAAACUAGGCCUUUUAGAAGAAGAAGAUGCAGCAAAUGUGUGUUUGUCUGAACCAUGUGAAGUGCAGCUACUCAUGGCCUUACGCCGUCUUUUUGCAACAAUUCUUAUCUUUUGUCAUCCAAGCAAUCCUUCUGCUCUAUGGCAAAAAUAUUACCUUCUUUAUCAGAAGAUUUUGUUCGGCAAUAUCCUUGUUCGGAAAGUAAAAUUAAGCAGCUCACUAUCAGAUCAAUUGAGCAGCAUCUAGAAGCCAUGGGGAAAUCGCUUGAAGGAUGUGGCCUGGAGAACUAAACAAAAUGAAUGAUAAUGAGAUUCGUAUAACCAAGGACAUCUUAGAUGCGUUAGAAGCACCUAUUCUCCAAGAGUGUAUUGACACUCGUAGUUGUUUAAAUACAACUCAAAAAGAAGCUUUUCAGUGUAUUAUGCAACAUGUUAUUGAAGAAAAACCUGGUGCUUUUUUCAUAGAUGGUCCUUGUGGAACCGGAAAGACAUUUUUAUACAAUGCUCUUUACGCUGAAAUUCGUCUUAUGAAUAAGAUUGUUUUACCAACAGCUACAUCAGGUAUCGCUGCAGCAAACAUUCCGUCAGGUCGAACAGCUCAUUCAAGAUUCAAGAUUCCUAUUGAUAAUGAAUCCAUGUUGACAUGUAGUGUAUCAAAGCAGAGUAGCCUAGCAGCGUUAAUUAAAGAAACAACAAUGAUCAUAUGGGAUGAGACAUCAAUGACUGUCAAAUCUAAUCUGUAAUAUUUAGAUUUAUUGCUUCGGAAUAUAUGUGGUGACAACACUCUAUUUGGAGGGAAGGUGAUUGUUUUUAGAUUUUCGGCAAGUGUUGCCUGUGGUCCCAAAAAAAUCACAGAAAGAGGCUGUUGAAGCAAGCAUUGUUAGUUCAUAUCUAUGGCCUAAGCUGAUCAGAUUUAAGCUAACCGAAAGUCUAAGAGCUAGAGAAGAUCCUGCCUUUUCAGCUUUCUUACUUGCUUUGGGUAAUGGUCAGCUGCAAUCCACAGACAGUGAAUUUAUAAAUUUGCCAGAACAAAUAGCAAGGCCUUUUGCUGUUGAUGAAAAUCCAAUCAUUGAAUUAAUAGAAUCAUCUUUUCCAGAGUCACACACAAAUGAGCUAGAUCCCGCGAUCUCUACAAAAAAGGCAGUGUUACACCAGUAAAUGAUGAUGUUGAUACAAUUAAUUCAUUUGUCAUAGAAAAAUUUCCAGGACAACCAGUUGUGUACAAGAGUUAUGAUGUACUUCUUGAUGACUAUUGCAAUGUUUAUCCAAUGGAAUUCAUAAACACAUUAUGUCCAGCAGGUAUGAGCCCUCAUGAACUUGUACUUAAACAAGAUUGUCCGGUAAUAUUGUUACGGAACCUACUUCCUUCUUCUGGUCUAUGCAAUGGCACGCGACUUAUAUGUAAAAGAUUUUACCCAAAUCUGAUAGAAUGUGAAAUUGCAAUUGGACCACUAUCAAGGAGAACGUGUCUUUAUCCCUCGGAUCAAGUUUCAGCCUUCACCGUCUAUGAAAUAUCCUUUCAAAUUUCAGAGGAAUCAGUUUCCAUUAAAGUUCAGUUUUGCUAUGACAAUAAACAAGGCACAAGGGCAAACACUAGAUCAAGUAUCAAUUUAUCUUCCGCGCCCUUGUUUUUCACAUGGACAGUUAUAUGUGGCACUUUCUUGUGCACGAACAUCUGCAAAGGUCACUGUUAUUUCUACAAUGCCACCAUCCCAGUAUUCAGAGACCGCAGUUAAGAAUUUAGUGUCCUAUGCAGUUCUUAAAUUAGCAGGCAUAACUUAAAAUUCUUCUACUUGAACUAGGACAUUGGCAAAUAGCAAGUUGCAAUCGUCAGCCUAUCAAAUUUUACAUAUAUGAUUUAGUUGACUGAAUUGAUGUGUAAGUUUUCUUUUUUUUUUCCUCCCCUGGUAAGGAUUAGUUUGCAGGUUGAUGAUAUUAGAAUUUAUCAGUUUUUAUCGUAAGGAUGCUAAAAUUAUAACGAUCUGUAUUCUAACCUCUUUAGCAUAUAUGCAAAGAAAUUAUUUUGUCAGCAUAUCUUGAUACAUAUAUUAUUUUGAGAGAAGUAAGUGAACGAGAAAGCUGAUUUGUUAAUGUUGUUUUUUUUAUUAAUUUAAUAAGCUGGGUUUUAUCAGAUAGGAACCGUAAUUUAGUACUAAUGCAUCAUUUGACGGAAUUUAUCUUAUUUGAUAUUUCUUUGAUAUGGAUUAUAAAAUUAAGGAGUCAGUAUAACCGAAAAUGAUUGAUAUUGUACCAAAUUUAAUGAAUGAUAGAGUGUUUAAACAAUGUUGUGUUACUAUGUUAUUCCCUCCGUUUCGCAUUAGUUGCAACACUUUUCAUUUUCAACCGUUUCAUAUUAGUUGCAACACUUUUCAUUUUCGACCGUUUCAUAUCAGUUGCAACACUAUUAAAUUUGUAAAGGACCCACCAUUUUUUUUAUAAUUUAUCUCUCCCACUGACCCAUUUCCACAAAUAUUUUAUUAUUUCUCUUUCCUACUAACCCUACCCACACUACUUUUUUUUUAUAAUUUCUAUCUCUUACUAACAAUACUUUAUAUUAUAAGACUACAAGCCUAGUCUAUAAUUUUCUUAAACUAUGAGCCAAGCUUACUGUUGCAACUAAUGUGAAACGGAGGGAGUAGUAUAGUGGGAUUAAAGAAAGAUAAUUAAGAAUAUACAAAGCUUAAAUCUUGCAAAACCCGCAACUGAUUCAAGUGUGGUACUAUGCAUGAUCAACUCAUACUGGUGCAAAGUAUGAUAGCCAGACGUACAAACCUAUCUAUCUGUUUUGCUCUGUUAUGAUUGACGACUGUGUCGAUCUACAAGGUUAAUCUAAUUUGCAAUUUGGUUGUUUCCUUGAACUAAAAAUGUUAUAAGUGAUUUUUAGGUGGUUGUGUUACUUCUCCUCCAUACAUUAUUGGAAGCAAUUAGAAUAAACCUAAACAAUAUCAAGGGUGCGAUAUUUAUGGAAGUAACCCCUGAAUAGCCUUUGGUGCCAUAUAGUUUUUUAGAAAAAAGGGGAGGAUCUCUACCUUCUUUGCUCGGUAAUUGUAGGUGAAGUCCAGUAAGAUUAGCUAUUUGGUGCUUUACAAAAAAAAGCUAUUUGGUUAUGUUAUCUUGCUGAAACACUGCUAUUUCAUUCUUAUCCCUGUUCUCAAACCAUGCUAAAUCUUUACUACUACUUUCCCCCCCUUUUCUGGGAGAAGUUAUAUCUUUACCUGUGUAAGGAGAUUGGAUCAAUAUGUUUGAUUGAAUCUUAUGUGAAGGCUCAACGCACUAACAAUCACGUAAAAUAACUCUUGAAUUAGUGGGCAGAAGGUGUAUGUGGCUUUGUAAACUUUUUGCAAAUUAUAUGGGCUGAUGUAGAAACUAUAUAUAAAUAUCAUAAACCAUAAAAGUAAAUAAAAAUACUAUUCCAUGAUGUGAUGGAAUAAAUAAUUUGGUAGCUUAAUUUUCAUACUAUAUUGCCUAUAUAUAAGUGGAAACGCCAAUACAACCUUGUAUGUUCGGUAAACUCUUUUCUAAAUUACUGAAUUAAGAGAAAGAGAGAAUGGAAGGAGAAGAGAAGAGUACUAGGCAAACAUCAACAGCAAGAACAAAACCAUAUACCCCAAUUUUUCAAGGUUUGUCAUCAAUCAUAAGCAAGUGGAAUUAGCUGUCUGUAAUUACCCUUUCGUGGAGAGGUAAGGAAGACACAGGAUGCCUUCAAGUCAUCUAACAGGCCAAAGGGGUUAGUUCAAAUUACCAAGAGGAUGCAGUAUUAAGACACAAUUUGGUACUCUGAGAAAAUCGAAGAAGGGAAUAUCUUUGAGGUAAGAGUUGAGGACUAUGGAGCCUUUCUCAAUCUGCGCUUCCCUGAUGGUAUAUAUAUGCUUGAGCCUUUUGUUACUGUGAUUGUUUUUUUACCGUAUUUUUUGGCAUCUGGAUGUAUACAACUUAUAUUAUGCAGGAAAAUAUCAUUUUACUGGCUUAAUACAAGUUUCGGAAGUUUUAUGGGAUUAUGUUCAAGAUGUCACUAUGUCAGGGAUGUAUUAAGAGUGGAUGAUGUUGUAAGAGUUAAAAUUGUUAUCAUUGACUGGUAAAAAAUUAAUAAUGCACUCCCUACUGCUAAUAAUCUAAUGAAAAGGGGAAUUAAUGCUUAUAAUGUAUGCAGGUUAUGUCACUUUGAAGAUGAAUCGCGGGAGCAUAUUUUUAGAGAUUGCGAAAUCUCUAGAAGAGUAUGGAAAUGCAGCACAAUGGCAUAGAGCUCAAAAUCAGGGUUUGGAUUCAGAACUUCAUCUCUUCUUUUCUCUGGACAGCAACAAAGAAGAUAGUGUUAUGGACUUUGUGAGUGUUCUCUGAAGCAUUUGGCUCACAAGAAAUAAAGCUACCUUCAACAACAAACAGUGUAAUCCACUCAACAUAAUCUACACUGCCCAACAUUGGAAGAACAUAUGGAUCAAUGGCAAUCUCCUAACAGCAAGAUUGACACCAAUAACUGCAGAUUCUACAGAUGGUGAAAGCAAUGAGCAUAGUACAGAUGGUGACAACUCAAGUGGAACAAGUCAGGAUCAUAUCACUGUGAUUAUUGAUGGUGCCCGGAAGAGGAACGAUCUACCUUCGAUGAAUACUUGGAAAGCUGUUGUAGGAUGGAUUAGUAAAGAAAAAGGUGUAGUGAUUGACAGAGGGAAAGCCCCUGUGUUCGCCUCUACCCCGCUCCAAACUGAAGCCAUGGCUGCUCUUAUGGCAAUAAAAAAUUCAAACCUUACAGGGAGGAAAGUCACUAUGCUCACAGACUCAAGCGAUUUGGUGAAGGUUUUUACUGACAACAGCAAAGCAAAGAGGGAGAUAAAGCAGUUAAGCUUUAUAUUAAACAGGCUGUCAAAAAUUUUGAUAAUUUUGUAAUUGUAAAAGUCAGUAGACUCAAAGUAAAAGAGGCCCAUGAACUAGCUAUAGCAGCUAGGAAGGGUGUAGUCUGUUUUGUUUUCUUGAUUGUCAAAAAAAGGAAAAAAAAAGGAUAAAAAAAAAAAAGAGACAGGUAAAAAUUACUAUAAGUAUAUCACAAUGUGCUAAUAGUGUCACUUAGGAGGCUUGGAUAGUGGCUUGCUAGAAUUUGAUAAUCUUGGUAGUAAAGAUAUUUGGCAUCUCCAUGUUUUGUGGCUGUUUAUCUAAUUAUUCAACUUCUUUACUGGUUGAA